GGCUCUGUCUCUGCUUUUUCCAGCUGGAUCAGAACAUAACCCAGGGAAGCCUCCUGGAUCUGGCCACAAAGCUGGAGCAGCUGGCAGACAAAGCGGACGUGGAUGUGAAAGAAAAACUGAAGGCUGAUGCUCGCAGUCUGAGGGAGCUGGACAAGGAGAUGCAGAAGAGCUUCUCUGGGCUGCUGCAAAGCCUGAAGGAGAACAUCCACUUGGUGCAGAGCGGGGCUGCCCUGCUCGAGGUAAGUGGCACAGGGGGGGACCUCGUGAGCGCACCCCACUCAGGAGCACUCUACAAAGUGCCCUUGAGGUCCUGUGGUGGGGGCCAACCUACAGUCUGGGGGGCCUGUGGCUGCUGUGGGACUCCCCAGUCAUCCCCAUGGGGCAGAGACAGGGGGGCCCAUGCCACAGACCCUGCCAGGCGCAGGCUCCCUCCACCCCAGGCACCAUGCCAGCGUGGGAUGGGCGCUGGGGUCAAGUCCCCCCGCCACACU
rnacentral:lncRNA from 1 species